CCCUCUGGAACGCUCCCCGCGCUACAGCAGUGUGUGUCUUCUCUGCGGUUUCCCGUGGUGUUUGUCACAAGUUGUAUUUGCUGAGCAAUAGUGCUGGGUAUAACCGAUGUGCUGAAGGGAAGAGGGAGGACCUGUGCUUGAUGAGUAAGCCCGUGCUUACCAACACUGAGGGACAGAUUUGUUCACUUCUUGACUCCUUCCCCGUCUGAUUUUGAUGCUUUUUGCUAUACAGUUACCGUUGACUUGACCUGUGAUACUGAGCUAAAAGCCCCUGUUGGGAAAUGAGCUGUAAUGGCAUGUUAACGUUAAGAAGGAAGAGGAACAUAGUAUCAGCAGCACGUUUGGUUUUUUGGUAGAAAGUCUGUGUGUUGUAUGCUGUAAUAUUCCAUUAUUUCUGAUGCUUUAAAAUUAACAUCAGUUUUCAGAAUGACCGAGCUGUGAAUACUCUGCUUGUGUUAAUAAUUGUCAUAAUGAAAAGAUGAGUUGAUGUUUGUUAUGCAUCCUGAUCUAAAACCCAGGUCCUACCUCAAAUUUUACACAAUAAUCUGAGGAAGCAAAACCAGGGGACUGUAAUUUUAUGAUCUGAAUUCUUUUUUCAUUUAGAUGCAAUUGUUGGUCAAACAGAACUGGUUUGAACAGUUACCUAAUAACCAUUGGUUGCAAGAAGUUACAUCUAAAAUUUGUUUCUGGAAUAGUCCUGUCUUAUUAAGCUUUAUGACGUUUAACACAAAUUAAAUCCAAGAUCAGACAGAAAUCCAAAUCUGACAAAUUCCUUGCCAUCUUGUCUCAAGCAUAUAGUAUUUACCCAUUCCCACCAUAUUGGUCUUUCAUUCAGUCCAUUUCUUCUGCUGGAUAAUGUACCAAAUCCCUGUUAGUAAAUAAUCCCAAGCUGUCACACUGGAGGUCACUGGUAGGACAGUGUUACUAAGGGCACAGUGCAGGCACCUAUCUUGUGACUCACUGACGUUUAACUACUUGAAGAGAGAUGGUUUUAAAAGCAAAGCACUAAUAGGAAAAAAUCAUUAGUAUAUUUCAAAGCCUCAGUUGUAAAGUGGUUUGGAUAUUUUUUCUGUGUACAGUAUGUGUGUUUUCAGUACAUUAUUUGUAAUGGGCCCUUCAAACCUAGGACCAGUCCAUCUUUCUGAGUAGUACUUACACUCUGGUACAGCCUGUUCUGGUGCAGUGACAGUGUGUUGUACCAGAGUGCCAAUUUUCAUUAGUUGUUUCUGAUCCCUUGACCUACAUGACUUCUUGAAAGAAUUUCUAUGGCAAAUUUUCAAUCUUUCUACCAUCCCUUUCAUUUACUAAAGAGAUUAAAAAAAAAGGUAAGAAUUAAAUCUGGUUUUGAGUAGGUAGAAAAAUAUUAUUAUGAUUACACAGACUUUUUUUUUAAUAACCCAGGACAAGCAAGAAAAAAAUAACUUGCCUGACCUUGUCAUGUGCUCUCCCCAUUUAAUUCGUUAGCUAUUGUUUAUUUCACAGAGAAUGGGGUAUUUUUAAUUCAACAUUUUUCUCUUUUAAUUAGAGGGGUAUAUUAUUAUCACUAAGAUCUCUGUUCAGCUCUUAGGAGGUUUGUCUGGUGUAUGUGUAUAUAACAAGGGAACUAAAUAUCCAAAUAUUGAAACACUUCUUCAAGAAUACAGUGUAGAUUAAUUUGGUGAUAGUGCCAUGUGUUUACCUAAGCAUAGCAAAAUGAUGAAAAAAUUGGAAACAAAACAGAAAUUAGAGUGGUCAUGGAGUUACAAAAAAAAGUUGGAAGUAAGAGAACAAAUCGUAGGUGGAUGCAAAAAAUCAUGAGGAAUUCUUAGACGUGUCAUAUAAUAUAAUUGUGAAAAUGUCUUUGUCUAACAGAUAGGUAUUUGUAGUGCUCUGCCCUGAGAGCAGCUUUUUGCUCUCUUGUGGAAACCAGACAACACUUUAAUUGGACGCACAAAUGUUUUUAGGGAAGAGGGCCUGCCAUAUCUGUAAUCCCCUCACUCUGUAUUUCAUGUGGAAUAUCUGGUGCUCAUAAGAUAGAAGUCAGAAUUAGGAAAGACUUCUUUCUCAGUGUUCAGCAGAAGAGAGAUGAGUGUGCAAAACAGCCCUGAAUUCUGGGCUGUAAUAGUAACUUCCAUUCCUGUGGCUUUUAUUUCAAAACCAACUUAAGGACUGCUGCUACUGUAGCUAAGGAAUCCGUGACCAUUAAAUUCCCCUAGGGGAUACUUUUAGUUUGGUAUAUAUCCAUAGCAAGGAUUGUGUAUUCCAUAUUCCUUGCUUUAAAUGCCUAGGCAGAUUGUGGUCCCCAAAUUUCAGUGUUAGCUUUUGGGUAAAGCAACUCCUUUCCUAUCUCAAAGUUUCACAUUUCCCAGUUGGUAUUCUGCCUGUUUGGUACUGUUGAAGCUGGUGACCUGACGCUCAGUUACUUGCAGAAGUAAAGCUUAGCUAUGCUGUGUUUAACUCUUCUGUUGGUUUUGCUUUCCAUUCCCGCCUUUCCUUAAAUACUUUACCUAAGUCCCAGUGUAAUGGUUCUUGGUUGUAACCUCCCUAUUUGGUUUGCUUCAAUUAAUGCACAUCUCUUCAGUGUCUUGAUUUAUGAAAGUAAAUAACCCCAGAAAAGAGAAGGGUGGUUUCUCUUAGGAGGAGCCACUGCUCAGGUACCUUACAGUCAUUCUUGCAAAUGCAGGUGGAUUGUUUUGAAUGCCAGAGCAAUAAAGGAGUGUGGAAGCUGUGCAGAGAAGAGUCAAGAACUGCUGUAAGGCUUUUCCAUAUUAACAUAGAGACUGGCAGUCUUCUGGCAGGGUGAGGUAUAUGGUGUAUUUUGGCAGAAUCCUGGGGACUGUUGAUGGUAUAUUUUGUCAGGUUCUAGUUGUCAGUGGAUAUCCAAAGUAAAAUAAAGUUCUGUCCACCUUGUUCAUAACUUCAUCUCUUUGAGCUGACUCUGAUCAGGUGUUUGGUCAGGGCACAAUGAGUUAGCAUCUUGAACAAAUGGUUGUACUCCACUUAGGUAAUUUUGGAAACCUAGGUAGGAGCUGUUGCUUUUUAAAGGAAGCAAUGGAAUUGCUAUUAAUUCUUAACAACAGGAAAGCCCCUGACCCCAUGGCAUGUAAGGUAAAUGAUUAGUGUAGUUUCUCAGGUAGUGUGAAACUGAAUGCAACUAGUUGAAGAACUAAAAUAAUGAUCUAUAUUGAAAGGAUACUGUCCCUGAUUUCUGAAUCUGCUUGUUGUUUUCAAGAAACAUUAGUGCACUUAGCUCUAAUACUGCCUUUUCAGUCACAAUUCCUUGAUUUUCAUGCUGUAGUUGAAUUAUUUGGUAAGCAAUUCCAAGAAUCCUCUUAAUAAACCAAUAGUAGGGGAGAGGUAAGGUUGUAAUGACUUUUUAUUGUCAUUUCUAGCUGAUUUGAAGUUUUAAGUGUUGCCCUUUCCUGUAACUUCUAUAUUGAUUUUUAACCCAAGUUUGAUGAGUAUAGAGUUUGCUUGGGAUAGGCCGUUCUUGCUCUGUAGCCAUUUUGUAUUGGUCUGUCUCCACUAAGCAGCGGUGUAACAUUGCUUGGUUUAUGUCAGAGGUGCUUAAAAUACCAACUUAGAAUCAGUACAGGCCAGGAAUACAAUUCAGAUUUGAGUUUAAAUUAAAGGAUCUUGAAGAAUUCGAGCAUUUUUGUUCUGUCCCGAGAUCCUAGAACUAUAUUUUUCUUGGAAAAUACAGAAACAUUGUGCGCUUCCUAUUUUUCUCUGAAUCUAGGAGGAAACUUAAUAUUAUGUUGGGUCAUAUCAAAAGUUUGGUUUUUUAAAUAAUAAACACACCGAAAUACUUUCCCUUUGUGUUCUGAGCUUCUGUAGUUUGUUACCUUAAAAAAAGUAGAAUAUUUUUUUAUUCUGUUUAUCUAUUCAACAGAUAUGGACUUUUAGCAUCCUUGGAAUCCAGUGUCAGAUAAUCUUCAAAUUAACUGGGCUAUAGAUGAAAAAAUAUUUCCAUUUCUUUUGAUCUCUACACUUGCUAGUUUCAUAUGAUUGUUCCUAGUCUAGUUGGUCUGAGUUGAUGAAAAAAAGUAAUAUCCGUAGACUAAAGAAAGAUGUAGAAAACUUGAGUAGAAACUUGAAACUUCAAGGCUAAGCACAGAAGCCUUAUGUUGUGAGGAUUUUACUUCAAAAAAGAUUUUGCAGCUUUGAGAGUUUCAAAGGCAAGGUCAGAAAAGUAGUUGGGAACUUGACUAUGCAAUGUCAGUUGAAAUUAAGUAAUGUCAUUCAAAAGCUGCUACAAACAGAAAAUCUACCUAUUUGAAUACUGAAUCUGUAGUUAUCAACUUUUCCAGCAAAAGAA